GAUGAACGCUGGCGGCGUGCCUAAUACAUGCAAGUCCAGCGAACGGACGAGAAGCUUGCUUCUCUGAUGUUAGCGGCGGACGGGUGAGUAACACGUGGAUAACCUACCUAUAAGACUGGGAUAACUUCGGGAAACCGGAGCUAAUACCGGAUGAUAUUUUGAACCGCAUGGUUCAAAAGUGAAAGACGGUCUUGCUGUCACUUAUAGAUGGAUCCGCGCUGCAUUAGCUAGUUGGUAAGGUAACGGCAUACCAAGGCAACGAUGCAUAGCCGACCUGAGAGGGUGAUCGGCCACACUGGAGCUGAGACACGGUCCAGACUCCUACGGGAGGCAGCAGUAGGGAAUCUUCCGCAAUGGGCGAAAGCCUGACGGAGCAACGCCGCGUGAGUGAUGAAGGUCUUCGGAUCGUAAAACUCUGUUAUUAGGGAAGAACAUAUGUGUAAGUAACUGUGCACAUCUUGACGGUACCUAAUCAGAAAGCCACGGCUAACUACGUG
rnacentral:rRNA from 1 species